GGCAGUAGCAUAAUGGUGUGAGUGUUGGACUGCAACUCUGGAGGUCAGGGUUCAAUUCUCCACUGAGCCA